AACGAACGCUGGCGGCAUGCCUAACACAUGCAAGUCGAACGAGACCUUCGGGUCUAGUGGCGCACGGGUGCGUAACGCGUGGGAACCUGCCCUUAGGUUCGGAAUAACUCCCCGAAAGGGGUGCUAAUACCGGAUAAUGUCUUCGGACCAAAGAUUUAGCGCCUUUGGAUGGGCCCGCGUUGGCUUAGCUAGUUGGUAGGGUAAAAGCCCACCAAGGCGACGAUCCAUAGCUGGUCUGAGAGGAUGAUCAGCCACACUGGGACUGAGACACGGCCCAGACUCCUACGGGAGGCAGCAGUGGGGAAUAUUGGACAAUGGGCGAAAGCCUGAUCCAGCAAUGCCGCGUGAGUGAUGAAGGCCUUAGGGUUGUAAAGCUCUUUUACCCGGGAUGAUAAUGACAGUACCGGGAGAAUAAGCUCCGGCUAACUCCGUG
rnacentral:rRNA from 1 species